rnacentral:rRNA from 1 species
AUACGUAGGGUGCAAGCGUUAAUCGGAAUUACUGGGCGUAAAGCGUGCGCAGGCGGUUUUGUAAGACCGAUGUGAAAUCCCCGGGCCUAACCUGGGAACUGCAUUGGUGACUGCAAGGCUUGAGUGCGGCAGAGGGGAAUGGAAUUCCGCGUGUAGCAGUGAAAUGCGUAGAUAUGCGGAGGAACACCGAUGGCGAAGGCAGUUCCCUGGGCCUGCACUGACGCUCAUGCACGAAAGCGUGGGGAGCAAACAGGAUUAGAUACCCUGGUAGUCCACGCCCUAAACGAUGUCAACUGGUUGUUGGGUCUUCAUUGACUCAGUAACGAAGCUAACGCGUGAAGUUGACCGCCUGGGGAGUACGGCCGCAAGGUUGAAACUCAAAUGAAUUGACGGGG